UACGGAGGAUCCGAGCGUUAUCCGGAUUUAUUGGGUUUAAAGCGUGCGCAGGCGGGGGAUUAAGUCGGCGGUGAAAUUUUGCAGCUCAACUGUAAAAGUGCCUUCGAAACUGGUUUCCUUGAGUGUAGAUGAAGUAGGCGGAAUUUGUGGUGUAGCGGUGAAAUGCAUAGAUAUCACGAGGAACUCCGAUUGCGCAGGCAACUUACUAAACUACUACUGACGCUCAGGCACGAAGGCGUGGGGAUCAAACAGGAUUAGAUACCCUGGUAGU
rnacentral:rRNA from 1 species